rnacentral:rRNA from 1 species
AUCAACGCUGGCGGCGUGCCUAACACAUGCAAGUCGAACGCGAAAGCCCCUUCGGGGGUAAGUAGAGUGGCGUCCGGGUGAGUAACACGUAGGUAAUCUACCUCCGGGUGGGGAAUAACGUCUCGAAAGAGACGCUAAUACCGCAUAAUGCAGCGGCACCUAAUGGUGAUUAGUUGGUUAAAGCGGGGGACCUUCGGCCUCGCGCCUGGAGAGGAGGCCUGCGGCAGAUUAGCUAGUUGGUGAGGUAAUGGCUCACCAAGGCGACGAUCUGUAGCUGGUCUGAGAGGACGGCCAGCCACACUGGCACUGACACACGGGCCAGACUCCUACGGAGGCCAGCAGUGGGGAAUUUUGGGCAAUGGGCGCAAGCCUGACCCAGCAACGCCGCGUGAGGGAGGAAAUCCUUCGGGAUGUAAACCUCACAAGCAAGGGAAGAGCGCGAAGGGGUUGAUAUACCCCCUUCGUCCGACGUACCUUGCGUAAGCCACGGCUAACUACGUGCCUGCAGCCGCGGUAAUACGUAGGUGGCAAGCGUUGUUCGGAAUUAUUGGGCGUAAAGGGCGCGUAGGCGGUCUUGUCAAGUCAGCUGUGAAAGCCCGGGGCUCAACCCCGGAGGGUCGGCUGAUACUGCAGGACUGGAGUACGGAAGAGGUAGCUGGAAUUCCCGGUGUAGCGGUGAAAUGCGUAGAUAUCGGGAGGAACACCUGAGGCGAAGGCGGGCUACUGGGCCGAUACUGACGCUGAUGCGCGAAAGCCAGGGGAGCAAACGGGAUUAGAUACCCCGGUAGUCCUGGCCCUAAACGAUGGAUACUUGGUGUGUCGGGUCUUCAAGUCCCGGCGUGCCGGAGCUAACGCGUUAAGUAUCCCGCCUGGGGAGUACGGUCGCAAGGCUGAACCUCAAAGGAAUUGACGGGGACCCGCACAAGCGGUGGAGCAUGUGGUUUAAUUCGAUACAAAGCGAAAAACCUCACCAGGGUUUGACAUGCAACUGCACAGCCUAUGAAAGUAGGCCUUCUUCGAGAGUGUUGCACAGAUGCUGCAUGGCUGUCGUCAGCUCGUGGCGUGAGCUGUACCGUUAAGUCGGGAAACGAGCGCAACCCGCACCGUAUGUUGAAUAGUUCAUGCGGAACAGCCCCUUUUUUAGGGGAGGCAGGCGCGGAUGACGUCAAGUCAGCACGGCUCUUACACCCUGGGCUACACACAUACCCUACAAUGGCGAAAAACAACGAGUUGCAAACUGGUAACAGUAAGCUAAUCUCUGAAAUUUCGCCUCAGUUCAGAUUGAGGGCUGCAAUUCGCCCUCAUGAAGUCGGAAUUGCUAGUAAUCGCGGAUCAGCAGGUCGCGGUGAAUACGUUCUCGCCUCUUGUACACACCGCCCGUCAAGGCAGCAAAGUUGGGGGCGCCCGAACAUCCUUACAAGGGUGGAAGGCGAAACCAGCGAUGAAGCUUAAGUCGUAACAAGGUAA